ACUGUAACAGCAUAUACACUAGACAAUACAGAGGUGCUCAGUGUGACCCCUGUGCAAGGAUGACACUCACACUUGCAAGGCAUCACACAUUGUU
rnacentral:snRNA from 14 species